rnacentral:rRNA from 1 species
GAUGAACGCUAGCUACAGGCUUAACACAUGCAAGUCGAGGGGUAACGAGAGGAAAGCUUGCUUUCCUUGUCGACGACCGGCGCACGGGUGAGUAACGCGUAUCCAACCUGCCCCCAACUAGGGAAUAACCUUGCGAAAGUAAGACUAAUACCCUAUAAUUUCCUCAGAUGUCAUCUGACGAGGAAUAAAGAUUUAUCGGUUGUGGAUGGGGAUGCGUGUGAUUAGCUUGUUGGCGGGGUAACGGCCCACCAAGGCAACGAUCAGUAGGGGUUCUGAGAGGAAGGUCCCCCACAUUGGAACUGAGACACGGUCCAAACUCCUACGGGAGGCAGCAGUGAGGAAUAUUGGUCAAUGGGCGGAAGCCUGAACCAGCCAAGUAGCGUGCAGAAUGACGGCCCUAUGGGUUGUAAACUGCUUUUAUACAGGAAUAAAGUUAGCCACGUGUGGUUAUUUGUAGGUACUGUAUGAAUAAGGACCGGCUAAUUCCGUGCCAGCAGCCGCCGUAA